rnacentral:rRNA from 1 species
UAGGGAAUCUUCCACAAUGGGCGCAAGCCUGAUGGAGCAACGCCGCGUGUGUGAUGAAGGCUUUCGGGUCGUAAAGCACUGUUGUAUGGGAAGAACGGUAAGGGUAGGAAAUGAUCUUUACAUGACGGUACCAUACCAGAAAGGGACGGCUAAAUACGUGCCAGCAGCCGCGGUAAUACGUAUGUCCCGAGCGUUAUCCGGAUUUAUUGGGCGUAAAGCGAGCGCAGACGGUUCGAUAAGUCUGAAGUGAAAGCCCACAGCUCAACUGUGGAAGUGCUUUGGAAACUGUCGAACUUGAGUGCAGUAGAGGUAAGUGGAACUCCAUGUGUAGCGGUGGAAUGCGUAGAUAUAUGGAAGAACACCAGUGGCGAAGGCGGCUUACUGGACUGCAACUGACGUUGAGGCUCGAAAGUGUGGGUAGCAAACAGG